rnacentral:rRNA from 1 species
AACGAACGCUGGCGGCAGGCUUAACACAUGCAAGUCGAACGCCCCGCAAGGGGCGUGGCCGACGGGUGAGUAACGCGUGGGAAUCUACCCAUCCCUACGGAAUAACGCAUGGAAACGUGUGCUAAUACCGUAUACGCCCUACGGGGGAAAGAUUUAUCGGGGAUGGAUGAGCCCGCGUUGGAUUAGCUAGUUGGUGGGGUAAAGGCCUACCAAGGCGACGAUCCAUAGCUGGUCUGAGAGGAUGAUCAGCCACAUUGGGACUGAGACACGGCCCAAACUCCUACGGGAGGCAGCAGUGGGGAAUAUUGGACAAUGGGCGCAAGCCUGAUCCAGCCAUGCCGCGUGAGUGAUGAAGGCCUUAGGGUUGUAAAGCUCUUUCACCGGAGAAGAUAAUGACGGUAUCCGGAGAAGAAGCCCCGGCUAACUUCGUG